rnacentral:rRNA from 1 species
UACGAAGGGUGCAAGCGUUACUCGGAAUUACUGGGCGUAAAGCGUGCGUAGGUGGUUCGUUAAGUCUGUCGUGAAAGCCCCGGGCUCAACCUGGGAAUGGCGAUGGAUACUGGCGGGCUAGAGUGCGGUAGAGGAGAGUGGAAUUCCCGGGUGUAGCAGUGAAAUGCGUAGAGAUCGGGAGGAACAUCAGUUGCGAAGGCGGCUCUCUGGACCAGCACUGACACUGAGGCACGAAAGCGUGGGGAGCAAACAGG